rnacentral:rRNA from 1 species
CUUGCUCCCUUAGGUCAGCGGCGGACGGGUGAGUAACACGUGGGUAACCUGCCUGUAAGACUGGGAUAACUCCGGGAAACCGGGGCUAAUACCGGAUGCUUGAUUGAACCGCAUGGUUCAAUCAUAAAAGGUGGCUUUUAGCUACCACUUACAGAUGGACCCGCGGCGCAUUAGCUAGUUGGUGAGGUAACGGCUCACCAAGGCGACGAUGCGUAGCCGACCUGAGAGGGUGAUCGGCCACACUGGGACUGAGACACGGCCCAGACUCCUACGGGAGGCAGCAGUAGGGAAUCUUCCGCAAUGGACGAAAGUCUGACGGAGCAACGCCGCGUGAGUGAUGAAGGUUUUCGGAUCGUAAAACUCUGUUGUUAGGGAAGAACAAGUACCGUUCGAAUAGGGCGGCACCUUGACGGUACCUAACCAGAAAGCCACGGCUAACUACGUGCCAGCAGCCGCGGUAAUACGUAGGUGGCAAGCGUUGUCCGGAAUUAUUGGGCGUAAAGCGCGCGCAGGCGGUUUCUUAAGUCUGAUGUGAAAGCCCCCGGCUCAACCGGGGAGGGUCAUUGGAAACUGGGGAACUUGAGUGCAGAAGAAGAGAGUGGAAUUCCACGUGUAGCGGUGAAUGCGUAGAGAUGUGGAGGAACCCAGUGGCGAAGCGACUCUCUGGUCUGUACUGACGCUGAGGCGCGAAACGUGGGAGCGAACAGGAUUAAUACCCGGUAGUCCCGCCGUAAAGAUGAUGCUAAUGUUAGAGGGUUCCGCCCUUUAUGCUGCAGCAACGCAUUAGCACUCCGCCUGGGAAUACGGCGCAGACUGAACUCAAGGAUUGACGGGGCCGCCAAGCGGGGAGCAGUGGUUAAUUCGAGCACGCGAAAACCUACCGGUCUGACAUCUCUGACACCC